rnacentral:rRNA from 1 species
GACGAACGCUGGCGGCGUGCUUAACACAUGCAAGUCGAACGCUGAACCCGCUUCGGUGGGGGAUGAGUGGCGAACGGGUGCGUAACACGUCGGCAACCUGCCCCCGGCUCUGGGAUAACUCCAAGAAAUUGGGGCUAAUACCGGAUGUGACCGCUGGCCGCAUGGUCUGGUGGUGGAAAGGGUUUCCGGCUGGGGAUGGGCCCGCGGCCUAUCAGCUUGUUGGUGGGGUAGUGGCCUACCAAGGCGACGACGGGUAGCCGGCCUGAGAGGGUGACCGGCCACACUGGGACUGAGACACGGCCCAGACUCCUACGGGAGGCAGCAGUGGGGAAUAUUGCGCAAUGGGCGGAAGCCUGACGCAGCGACGCCGCGUGGGGGAUGACGGCCUUCGGGUUGUAAACCUCUUUCAGCAGGGACGAAGCGCAAGUGACGGUACCUGCAGAAGAAGCACCGGCCAACUACGUG